rnacentral:lncRNA from 1 species
AAGAAUGAAAAUCCUUAUGACUACAUUGAGUGUAUAUAUGAUAUAUACUCAAGGAAAUGGUAAAAUACCAUUUGACCCGAAAUAAUGAAACCUUCAUAAGCUAAUUGGUAGCUUAAGGUGACUACAAUCAAAGAGAAUGGUUGACUUUGAAGAAACCAUCUUUGAGAUAGUCUUGGUUUCAAUUAAUUCGAAGAUUGCUGGCUACAACUAAAUGGUAAUUCAAUGUUUGGACAUAAUAUGGGUUUCCGAAACCAUUAUUAAGAUAGUCUUAAUAAUAUAUGUCUAAAACUAUGAAUCACAAGACAUGUAAGUUGUAGAGAUCCAUCCAUCAUGAAUCUUAGCAAGCUAGUGGGAGCUAUAAGCGUCUUAUGAGAAAAAAGGUCAAAUCGUUUGCUUUCUCAUAAAGAUGUAAAUGAAUCUUUUGUUUACUAGGUUUACAAAAGAUUAGUGGGAGUUAAUCAUAUUCCUAAAUUUGUAUAUAUAUAUAUAUAUAUAUAAAUAUAUAUGUGAUAUAUAUGAAUGUAUAUAUGAUAUAUUAAUUUUGGAAAUGAAAAGAAUACUUCUUCGUUAAAGUUAUGACUUUAAACAUUCUAUGACGAUAGAAUGUAUAUGGGAGACAUAGUCUAUAAACAUGGGAUAGAAAUCUAUAAUGAUAGAUUUUUUAGGAUAUAAUUGGAUUAUAUCAAUUCCUAAUAAUAGACAAAAGAUGCUAGGAAGUUUCUCAUAUGAUGAUAAACUUCAAAUAGAAGGAUGACUCUAGUGUGACUAGCAAGUUGCCCUUCUCAAAGGGAACGUACCCUUUUAACUCCCAAAGAAAUAAUGCGUAAAUAGAAUCCUUUAUGCAUAAAGGUGAUUUAUGUAUUUCAUAUUGUAU